rnacentral:rRNA from 1 species
UACGUAGGGUGCAAGCGUUUGUCCGGAAUUAUUGGGCGUAAAGAGCUCGUAGGCGGUCUGUCGCGUCGGCUGUGAAAACCCGGGGCUCAACCCCGGGCCUGCAGUCGAUACGGGGCAGACUAGAGUGCGGUAGGGGAGACUGGAAUUCCUGGUGUAGCGGUGAAAUGCGCAGAUAUCAGGAGGAACACCGGUGGCGAAGGCGGGUCUCUGGGCCGAUACUGACGCUGAGGAGCGAAAGCGUGGGGAGCGAACAGG